rnacentral:lncRNA from 1 species
GGCGGUCCAAAUGUUAUUCGAUGGCCAAAAUUAAUUCAUAUGGGUAUUAUACGUUUUCUAAGGAUUUUAGGACUCUUUUUGCUAUCAAAAAAGAUGAAAAAUUCAUCUAUAAAUAGAGGGUCCGAGAAUAAGAGUAAAGGGAAGAAAAAAUCAAUAGAAACAUAAAAAAAAAAUUAGAGAAAAAAUUAGGAAGGUUUAGGGAUCCAAGAGCAGCAGCAAG